UACGUAGGUGGCAAGCGUUAUCCGGAAUUACUGGGUGUAAAGGGAGCGCAGGCGGGAUAGCAAGUCAGCGGUGAAAUGCAUGGGCUUAACCCAUGAGCUGCCGUUGAAACUGUUAUUCUUGAGUGGAGUAGAGGCAGGCGGAAUUCCGAGUGUAGCGGUGAAAUGCGUAGAUAUUCGGAGGAACACCAGUGGCGAAGGCGGCCUGCUGGGCUCUAACUGACGCUGAGGCUCGAAAGUGUGGGGAGCAAACAGG
rnacentral:rRNA from 1 species